GCGGCUGUGGCGGAACGGUAGACGCGCUAUCUUCAGACGGUAGUGUUUAUGACGUGUGAGUUCAAAUCUCAUCAGCCGCACCA
rnacentral:tRNA from 1 species